rnacentral:rRNA from 1 species
UACGUAGGGUGCAAGCGUUAAUCGGAAUUACUGGGCGUAAAGCGUGCGCAGGCGGUUCGGAAAGUAAGAUGUGAAAUCCCAGGGCUUAACCUUGGAACUGCAUUUUUAACUACCGGGCUAGAGUGUGUCAGAGGGGGGUGGAAUUCCACGUGUAGCAGUGAAAUGCGUAGAUAUGUGGAGGAACACCGAUGGCGAAGGCAGCCCCCUGGGAUAACACUGACGCUCAUGCACGAAAGCGUGGGGAGCAAACAGG